rnacentral:pre_miRNA from 1 species
ACAGGAACUCUAAGCCGACCUAGAGUUCCUGUAUAUAUACAGGAACUCUAGGUCGGCUUAGAGUUCCUGUAUAC